rfam:Aedes albopictus isolate Foshan contig101812, whole genome shotgun sequence.
UGCCCAGCAACUCCUAUCCCUACCUCCUCGCGGAACCGGCUGGAAACUAUGAACAACCUUAGGGAAGAUCGGGUAACCAACCCCGGUGGGAACUUUGGUCGUAGGCUGACAGGGAAGG